rnacentral:tRNA from 1 species
AAUGAGGUGCCUGAGAAAAGGAAUAUCUUGAUAGGAUAGAUCAUGUGAAUAAUUCACCUUCAUUA